rnacentral:rRNA from 1 species
AGUGAACGCUGGCGGUAGGCCUAACACAUGCAAGUCGAACGGCAGCACAGUAAGAGCUUGCUCUUACGGGUGGCGAGUGGCGGACGGGUGAGGAAUACACCGGAAUCUGCUUUUUCGUGGGGGAUAACGUAGGGAAACUUACGCUAAUACCGCAUACGACCUACGGGUGAAAGCAGGGGAUCUUCGGACCUUGCGCGAUUGAAUGAGCCGAUGUCGGAUUAGCUAGUUGGCGGGGUAAAGGCCCACCAAGGCGACGAUCCGUAGCUGGUCUGAGAGGAUGAUCAGCCACACUGGAACUGAGACACGGUCCAGACUCCUACGGGAGGCAGCAGUGGGGAAUAUUGGACAAUGGGCGCAAGCCUGAUCCAGCCAUACCGCGUGGGUGAAGAAGGCCUUCGGGUUGUAAAGCACUUUUGUUGGGAAAGAAAAGCAGCAGGUUAAUACCCAGCUGUUCUGACGGUACCCAAAGAAUAAGCACCGGCUAACUUCGUG